rnacentral:rRNA from 1 species
GGUUGAUUAAAAUAUAUGUAAUGAUCUUAAAUAUCUCGAAGAUAAGGGAGCUAAAUUUAUAUUAUUUUUUUUGUAGCAAUAAAAUUAUAAAUAUAGAUUUAGAAAUUAAAUGUUAAACGAACUUAUUAAUAUCUAGUUUUCUUAGAAAUAAAUUUAAUUUAGAUAUAAUUAUUUUAGUAAAUUAAAUUUUAUUUUAAUUUAUUAAUUUUUAUAUUAAAAAUUUAUGGGAUAAUCUAUAAAUUUAAGAUAAAAAUUUAAUUUUAAUUUUUAAUGUUAUAGAGAUAAUAUUUUUCUUUAAUUUUAAUAAUUUAAUAAUUUAAUAUUUAUAAAUUAAUAAUGAUUUAAAUUUAUAUUUUAUUUUUCUAUAAAAAUUUAUAUUUUAAUUAAUAAAAUAUAGAAAUAAUGAUUAGAUUAGUAAUAAAGUUAUAUUUUAUAAUGAUAUUUUGUAUUAUAUAAUUUAAAGGAAUUCGGCAAAUAUAUUAUUCACCUGUUUAUCAAAAACAUGUCCUGUUGAUUAUAAUUUUAGGUCGAUCUGCUCAAUGAAUUAUUUUAAAUAGCUGCAGUAUGUUGACUGUACAAAGGUAGCAUAAUAAAUUGUCUUUUAAUUGAAGAAUUGUAUGAAAGAAUUAAUGAAAUAAUAACUGUCUCUAAAUUAUUAAAUGAAUUUAAAUUUUUAGUUAAAAUUCUAAAAUUUAAUUAUGGGACGAUAAGACCCUAUAGAAUUUAAUUUAAUUUUUAAAUUUAUUUAUAAUUUUAAUAAAUAUAUUUAAGAUUAAAUUUGAUUGGGAGGAUUGGUAAAUUUAAUAAACUUUAUUUAAGAUUUAAUUUUGAUAUAAAGAUAAUUUUUUGAAUUAUAAAUUGUAAUUAAAAGAAUAAAUUACCUUAGGGAUAACAGCGUA